UCCCCCCCCCACUCCACGAACUGGAACACGUUCUAGAGUGUCAGGCAGAAGGUUCAUGACGGGGUGGGAUGGAGAAAGCUCUAAAUUGUGCAAGUAAGUAGAUUCGGACUUUUCUGAGCUCAGGAAAUGCUACCGCGUGUUCACGGAACACCUAGGAGGAGCAGCGGUCCGGGACUUAAAGGCCCAGGGAAGGCCGCCCGGGACCCAAACCUGCGUCUGUCCUAAUACCGUAGCCCUUUGUCACAGGUGACUUUUGGGCGCUUGAGAAGAGGCUGGUGCACUUUACGAUGUACCGCUAGGUGCCAAAAUAGAUUUCAGAGACCUCCGUAGGAACAAAAUGAUGAGAUCCCUAAUACGCAUUCUCUAUUCGUUCGUUGCACGCUGAAAUCGUAUUUUUCGGAUAUAUGAAGGAUGUCCUCAAAGAUGUUUAUUUAUGAAGAAUGUGUCUCCUGCCAUUUGCAUGAAAGGAAGAACAGCAAUAGCACAUUGAAAAGAACUAGCCCGAACCUGUGCCUCCUCUAGACUCUGCCUUUAGGUCAAUGGCAAAAAAGUAUUCCAGACUGAAGCCAAAAGGGCAAGUCAGUCUCCUCGAUUCCUUCCUAUGAUUCCUAACUAUCUCUCGAUACCUGUAGCCAACCCAUCGCCAACUCCUGUGAAUUGCACCUCCAAAAUCCAUCAGAAGUCACCCCCUUCUCCAUCUCCUCUGCCACCACCCUCAUCUCAGCCACUGUGUUGUCUAGCGUGGGGUAGCCUCGGUGUUCUUCCCCUGCUUCUGCUUGUGCUUUCCUUCCACUCAUCCCCCCAUACAGCAGCUGGACUUUGAAAACGUAACUCAGAUUUUAUCACGCUCCCAUAAAAUGCAGUUUGAUGACUUCCUAUUGCUCUUAGAAUAAAGCCAAACUUGACUAGCUUACAAAGUCUUGCGUGACUUGGCUCUUGAUUUUCCCUCUAACCUCUUCUCAAACUCUGCCCCUUCCUUGCUGUGCUUCAACCCUACUGGCCUUUAUUCUUUUCCUUAACCAUGUUCAGCUCCUUGCUGCCUCAGAGCCUCCAUGCUUCACCCCCGUUGCACUGCUGUCCUAGCCCUUCCCGUGGCUGGCUUGUUCUCAGCCUCUCGAAGCUCAGAUGUCAGUGCCUCCCAGAUGCCAUCCCAGACCACCGUAUCUAAACUGUUUACUUGCAUUAAAAUCUUUAUCACAUAACGAGAACUUCCUCACUAUUUUUUAAAAUUUAUUCUGUCAUCCUCACUAAAAUCUAAGCUCUAUGAAGAAAUGAACCGACUGUAUUGUUCAAAUUAUUCUAAGCCCAAAGCACAGAACCGUGCCUGGCACAUAUUGGUACUUAAGAAUUAAGUUGUUUCUGAUUCUUUAAAAACAACUUAGAUUUGCCCGGUAUUUCCAUUCAAUUAUUUUCUAUUUUUUUCCAUUUAGUUCUUUUCAAUUCUGUAAUUAAUCUGGCUAGAACAAACAAAAACAGUUGGUAAUUAUCUUAGCAUGAGCUGCCAUAAGAAAAAAACCACAGAAUUGGUAGUUUAAACAAUAGAAAUUUAUCUCCCACAGUUCUGGAGGCUGGGAAGUCCAAGGUUAGUUAAGGUGCCAGCAUGGCCAGUUUCUGGUAAGGACACUCUUCCUGACUCAUAGGUGACAGCUUUCUCACUGUGCUCACAUGGUGGGGAGAGGGACCCAGGGAGAGGUGAUGGGAGGGAGAGGAAGAGAGAGGGAGAAUAAGUUCUCUGGAGUCUCUUUUAAGAAUAUCCUACUGGAUCAUGGCCCCACCCUUAUGGCUCCAUUUAACCUUACUUCCUUAGAGGCCCCAUCUCCAAAUACAGUCUCAUGGCUGCAAUGGGGGGACGGGGGUAGUACUUCAACAUAUGAAUUUGGGGACAUUCAAAAGUUCAUAACAAUAAUCACCUCAGCAUCCUAACUCUUAGAAAGUAAUGAUGUCUAUUCAGUGAUACUAGUUUAGUGCUCGUAAAAAUUUGCCACAAAUUUUAAACUAUUUAAAACAUUUCAAAAAACAGAAAAACACAUUUAUUACUGAACAUUUUCUGGGAGUCAGGAAUUUGGCUAUGAAUUAGCUGUGUCCUCUGAUUCAGGGUCUUGAACAAGGCUGCUUUUGUGGUGGGCUGGGGAGUCUCAUCUGACGGCUCAACUGUGGAAGGACUGACUUCCACACGCAUUUGUUGGCACAAUUCCAGCCUUUGGAGCUGUUGGAUUGAGGAUGUCGGUGUCAGGAUGUCAGUGUCUUGCUGGCUGCUUGCUAAGGGCCCUCUCAGUUCUUAGCCAUGUGGGUCUCCAACAGCGCAGCUUGCUUCAUCAAAACACAUUAGCUCAAAAAGCAAAAGAUUCUGCUAGCAUGAUUUCAUAGUCUUAGGUAACCUAAGAUUUGCUGAAUUCCAUAGCAUAGAAGGAAAUCAUGGGUUCCACCACACUCAGAGUCCAGAAAGGCAUGAAUUCCAUCAGGCAUGGAUCAUGGAGGGCUGUCUUAGAAUCUGCCUUCCUUCUCAACUAACCUGACUUUGUAAAUAACACCUAAUACAGUGUCAUACACAAAAACACUCUAUGUAAUGAAUUUGAAUGGUAUUGAUUAAUUUCAAUAUUUUUAACAAAAGACUAAUGUUUUUAAGUGGGAAUUCAAAUGGUAUUUUUCUUUCCUGCAGUGGAUCUAAGGAACUGUAUGGGUAUGAACAGGUCCACAUUUUAAGGAAUUGUUUUGUCUUGUUUUUAGUUUAGGACACAUGGUAUAUUUCAUUCUUUUAAGGUAGACUACUAAUUCUUUUUUAAAAGAUUAUUAAAGUAUAGUUAUAUAGUAAUGUGUACAAGUAUUAACUCCUUUGUGCUUGUGCCUCAUAACACUGCCUAUUGAGCUGUAUGAAUUUUAUCCUGUGUACACUCUCAUGUACUCUCGUUACUCAUUACCACCACCACCAUUGCCAUGUAACCCCUAUUUUUACCUCUAUCACUAUGGACUAAUUAUAUCUGUUUCUCAAUUUCAUAUACAUGGCAUCAUAUGCUAUUCACCCUUGUAUGUAACUUCUUUCACUCAGCGGUAGGUCUGUGAGACAUUGUUGUGGGAGUGAGGAUUGAUUCUUUUUCAUUGCUGUGUACUAUUCUCUACUGUCACACUAUCUUUCUCCUGUUGUAAAUAUCACAGUAUAUCUUUCUCCUAUUAAGGGAUGUUAGGGUUUUUUUCCAGUUUGGGGCUUUUAUGAGUAAUAUUACUUGUAUAUUCUUGUACAUGCCUUUUUGUAGACAUAAGCACUCAUCCUUCUUGGGUAUAUACCCAAGAGUGGAAUUGCUGGAUCAUGUGUAUACCCAUACUUACCUUUAGUAAUACUUCCAAAGGUUAUCACAGGGAUAGGGCCAAUCUGUAGUCCCACCAGCAACAUACGUGUGUUCUAGUUGCUCUACAUCCUCCCCAACACUUGAUGUAAACAGUCCAUUUAAAUUCAGCCCUCUGGCAGCAUUGUGCCCAAAUCCCCCUACAGUUUUCAUUUGCAUUUCUCUCCUGCUUAAUGCCUUUGAGCGCCUGUUAAUAUGCUAAUUGUUCAUUUGGAUAUUCCUCUUUAUGAAGUAGUUUCUCAAGUCUUAUUCCCUUUUUUUUUUUUUUUAAGGAUUUUAUUUAUUUAUUCAUGAGAGACAUAGAGAGGCAGAGACAUAGGCAGAGGGAGAAGCAGGCUCCCUGAGAGAAGCCUGAUGCGGGACUAGAUCCCAAAACCUGGGGAUCAUGCCCUGAGCCAAAGGCAGACGCUCAACCACUGAGCCACCCAGACGUCCCUUGUUCCUAUUUCUAAAUUGGAUUGUCAAAAAAAAAUUUUAAAGGUGUCUUUGUUGUAAAUCAGGUGAUUUGUUAAUGUGUAGAUCUGUUUCUAGACUCCUUAUUUUUCCAUUGAUCUUAACUACUGUAGCUUUAUAAUAAGUCUUGCUAUCUGGACAGUGAAGUCCCUCAGGUUUUUGUUGUUCCCUGAGAUUAUCCUAAGUUCUGUUGUAUUACCAUAUACAUUUCUGAAUCAGAUGAUCACUUCCCAGCAAAAAAAAAAAAAAA